rnacentral:tRNA from 1 species
GCGUCAGUAGCUCAGCUGGAUAGAGCAACUGCCUUCUAAGCAGUAGGUCGUGGGUUCGAGUCCCGCCUGACGCA